GAGAACAUAUAGCAUUUUUUUUUCAAAAAAAUGUACUCCUACCGCUAUUUUGAAAUUUCUACAUUUUUAAAAUAAUUUUUUUAUGACGACAUUGCAAACAAGGCGUUAUUAUUGAUGUUUCUUACCUGACGGAAAACGUUAUAGAAAUACACUUGUUGAAAUAUCUAUUGGAGACUGUGAUCGAAGAUCAGUGGUUUAUCUAAUUAAAGACUCGACAUUUUCAUUGCAUUCUUUGACUUCACAAACUCGAGAAAUACAAAAAUGGAUACGAAAGACUCGAGCAUUUCAGAAAUGAUCGUCAAAGACUCGGGAAUUUCAGAAAAUGGCACCAAGGACUCGGGAAUUUCAGAAAUUGGCACCAAAGACUCGGGAAUUUCAGAAAUUGGCACCAAGGACUCGGGAAUUUCAGAAAAUGGCAUCAAGGACUCGGGAAUUUCAGAAAUUGGCACCAAAGAAUCGGGAAGUU